UGGGGAAUUUUCCGCAAUGGGCGAAAGCCUGACGGAGCAAUACCGCGUGAGGGAGGAAUGCCUUUGGGUUGUAAACCUCUUUUCUCAGGGAAGAAGAUCUGACGGUACCUGAGGAAUAAGUAUCGGCUAACUCCGUGCCAGCAGCCGCGGUAAUACGGAGGAUGCAAGCGUUAUCCGGAAUCAUUGGGCGUAAAGCGUCCGCAGGUGGUUUCCAAAGUCUGCUGUUAAAGACUGGAGCUCAACUCCAGAACGGCGGUGGAAACUUGGAAACUAGAGAUCGGUAGGGGUAGCAGGAAUUCCCAGUGUGGCGGUGAAAUGCGUAGAUAUUGGGAAGAACAUCGGUGGCGAAGGCGUGCUACUGGACCGUAACUGACACUCAGGGACGAAAGCCAGGGGAGCGAAAGGGAUUAGAUACCCCUGUAGUCCUAGCUGUAAACGAUGGAAACUAGGUGUGGCUUGA
rnacentral:rRNA from 1 species